UAACCAAGCAAACGUAUACGACGAUGUAUC
rnacentral:sRNA from 1 species